AGGGUUUGAUUAUGGCUCAGGAUGAACGCUAGCGGCAGGCCUAACACAUGCAAGUCGAGGGGCAGCACGGUGUAGCAAUACACUGGUGGCGACCGGCGCACGGGUGCGUAACGCGUAUGCAACCUACCCAUAACAGGGGGAUAACACUGAGAAAUUGGUACUAAUACCCCAUAACAUCAGGACCGGCAUCGGUUCUGGUUGAAAACUCCGGUGGUUAUGGAUGGGCAUGCGUUGUAUUAGCUGGUUGGUGAGGUAACGGCUCACCAAGGCAACGAUACAUAGGGGGACUGAGAGGUUAACCCCCCACAUUGGUACUGAGACACGGACCAA
rnacentral:rRNA from 1 species